rnacentral:rRNA from 1 species
AAUCAACGCUGGCGGCGUGCCUCAGACAUGCAAGUCGAACGCGAAAGUUCCCUUCGGGGAGCGAGUAGAGUGGCGCACGGGUGAGUAACACGUGGAUAAUUUACCUCGGUGGGGAUAACAACCGGAAACGGUUGCUAAUACCGCAUAAUGCAGCGGCAUCUAUGAUGACAGUUGUUAAAGCGGGGGAUCGCAAGACCUCGCGCCUGAAGAGAAGUCCGCGGCAGA